rnacentral:rRNA from 1 species
AUGGCGGCCACGGCGGCCGAGGAGCCGCAGGAGCCCCGACGGGACGUCGACGGCGAGCUGAGCGGCGCGCCCGCCGUCGGGCUCGACCCCGGCCUCGGGUCGUGGGACGCGGCGCCGGCCCGCGAACCGGUGCCCACGGAGAUGCCGCCGGCGGCGGCGGCGGAGUCCUCGUCGAUAACGAAGCUUGGGCGGCUCUUCAGGCUGACCGAAGUGCACCUCUGGGAUGAUUUUUAUGCGAAGCCUCACGAUUGGCGUGCCACUGAUACGGCUGGUUGCACGGGAUCUCAAACAGCUAAAACCCGCAACAAAGCAGCCAAACAGACAGAUGAAGACCAUUCAUUUGUUGAAGAUAUGGAAUUGGCUAGUCUCAUGGGUUCUUUGGGGCUUCCUGUUUCAUUCAUUACAAGGAAAGAGAAAAAGAAGACACCUGCCAAGGGUAAGCAUCAAGGACGACAAGCAUCAUAUGAAGCGGCAAGUACUCCAAUGGAUGAUAAUGUAAGGACGUGCACAAAUUCUGAAGAACUGGAACACAUUCAGGAGUCGAUGGAUUGCAUGGAGCAAGCAAACUCAUGCGUUACAUCUAGGGCUGCUGCGGGUUACAGUGAAGUCUACCAUGGUGAUGUUGACAAGACGCUUGGUGAAGAAAGUGUUAAUCAGUGUGAACCAAAUGAUAACAUGAGCAGUCCAGUAAAAUCAGGCUCUCCUGUUCAAGAAAAUCAAGCUGCGGACAGUUUUCUGCAGUUGAACAAAGUGAUGCUGGGGCAAAAUUGUGUUGAUAAUGAAUCUAUAAUGUCAUGUGCUGAACUUUGUCAUGAAGAAAAAUCGUCUGAAAGAGAAGAUAAAAUAUCUGGGGAGACUCCACCCAUGUCCCAUGAUAAUAAUGAUCCAUGUCCAGCAGAACCAUCGCCUGUUAAUAAUCAUGUUGAAAACUCUGGCUCUGAUUUUUACUAUGAAUGCGGAUAUUGGCAGGUUCUUUGGGAUCAGUUCUAUAGUCGGUAUUACUAUUAUAACAUCCAGACACAGGAAUCUACAUGGGAUCCCCCUCAAGGAUUGGAGGAUUUUGUAUCAUAUUGUAGCACAUAUUCAUCUCAAGGGAUAGAUGAACAAGUAUCACAAUUGACAAGCACACUUGUGGAAGAACACAAUAAAAUUAAUACAAAGCUUGACAAAUCAUCUGGAGUCUUAUCCUGUGUCAAGCAUUAUAUCUCACAACCUGAUGAAGAUGCUGUACAAUAUGGAGCUAACGCGAGCCCAUGUGACAAUGGAGAAACAACAUUUGAUCAGGCUGGUGACGACAGCCAUCUAGAUGAGCAGAGGCAUGAUCUUUACAGUGAAGCACAAAGUUUAUCAGACAUUCCUGAUAAAGAGUCGAUAUAUCCAAGUGUGAUAGCUACCAUCGAUGAAGUACAAGAUGGUGAAAAUAUGCAGAAUGAUAAUUCAGUGGCUGAAGUGUUAGAAGUGAACCAGGAAGCUACCACCACCAAAAAGAAAAAGAGAGUAAGGAGAUCUCAAUCGUCUCAUUCAUGUCAGGACUUGGCUGAAAACAUAUCCAAUGACAUCGCCAAGUAUUGGAAUCAGCGGUACUCGCUUUUCUCCCUUUUUGAUAGUGGUAUAAAGAUGGAUGAAGAGGGGUGGUUUUCAGUAACGCCAGAGCCCAUUGCAAAGCAUCAUGCAUCUCGUGUUGGUGCGGGCAUAUUGAUUGACUGUUUCACAGGAGUGGGUGGAAAUACCAUCCAGUUUGCCACAAAGUGUAAGCAUGUUGUUUCUGUUGACAUUGACCCACAGAAGAUUGAUUGUGCACAGCAUAAUGCAACUGUUUAUGGAGUAAAUGAUCAUAUAGACUUCAUUAUAGGAGAUUUUAUCCAUAUAGCACCUCAUCUGAAGGGAGAAACUGUCUUCAUGUCACCUCCAUGGGGUGGACCGGACUAUGCAAAAGUAGAUGUGUAUGACAUCAAAACCAUGCUUAAGCCUUGUGAUGGGUACCAUCUCUUCAAAGUUGCCACGGCGAUCGCUUCGAGAGUAGUCAUGUUCCUUCCUCGCAACAGUGACCUAGACCAGCUGGCGGACAUGUGCUUGUCGAUCGAUCCUCCAUGGGCGGUUGAGGUGGAGAAGAAUUACCUCAACGGGAAGCUGAAAGCCAUAACGGCGUACUUUGACAAACAGGACAGCAUAGACGAGAACUGCAUUUUUCGUGAACAACACCGAUGA